rnacentral:rRNA from 1 species
GUGGGGAAUAUUGGACAAUGGGCGAAAGCCUGAUCCAGCCAUGCCGCGUGUGUGAAGAAGGUCUUCGGAUUGUAAAGCACUUUAAGUUGGGAGGAAGGGCAGUAAGUUAAUACCUUGCUGUUUUGACGUUACCGACAGAAUAAGCACCGGCUAACUUCGUGCCAGCAGCCGCGGUAAUACGAAGGGUGCAAGCGUUAAUCGGAAUUACUGGGCGUAAAGCGCGCGUAGGUGGUUUUGUAAGUUGGAGGUGAAAUCCCCGGGCUCAACCUGGGAACUGCCUCCAAAACUGAAUUCCUAGAGUACAGUAGAGGGUAGUGGAAUUUCCUGUGUAGCGGUGAAAUGCGUAGAUAUAGGAAGGAACACCAGUGGCGAAGGCGACUACCUGGACUGAUACUGACACUGAGGUGCGAAAGCGUGGGGAGCAAACAGGAUUAGAAACCCCUGUAGUCC